UCCCUGCGCCAUGAAGGUUUGCCUCAUUG
rnacentral:piRNA from 1 species